rnacentral:rRNA from 1 species
GUGUCAGCCGCCGCGGUAAUACGUAGGUGGCAAGCGUUGUCCGGAUUUACUGGGCGUAAAGGAUGCGUAGGUGGAUAUGCAAGUCAGAUGUGAAAUACCCGAGCUUAACUUGGGUGCUGCAUUUGAAACUACAUAUCUAGAGUGCAGGAGAGGUAAGUGGAAUUCCUAGUGUAGCGGUGAAAUGCGUAGAGAUUAGGAAGAACACCAGUGGCGAAGGCGACUUACUGGACUGUAACUGACACUGAGGCAUGAAAGCGUGGGGAGCAAACAGGAUUAGAUACCCUGGUAGUCCACGCCGUAAACGAUGGGUACUAGGUGUAGGAGGUAUCGACUCCUUCUGUGCCGCAGUUAACACAAUAAGUACCCCGCCUGGGGAGUACGGUCGCAAGAUUAAA